AACGAACGCUGGCGGCGUGCCUAACACAUGCAAGUCGAGCGCGAAUGGAGCAAUCCUAGUAGAGCGGCGCACGGGUGCGUAACACGUGGGUAAUCUGCCUCAAAGCCCGGGAUAACCUGCCGAAAGGCAAGCUAAUACCGGAUAAGCCUACGGACUCUUCGGGGUCUGAAGGAAAGGUGGCCUCUGUAUACAAGCUAUCACUUUGAGAUGAGCCCGCGGCCCAUCAGCUCGUUGGCGGGGUAACGGCCCACCAAGGCAACGGCGGGUAGCUGGUCUGAGAGGGCGACCGGCCACACUGGGACGUGAGAUACGGCCCACGACUCCUACCGGGAGGCAGCAGUGGGGAAGUCUUGCGCAAUGGGCGAAAGACCUGACGCAGCGACGCCG
rnacentral:rRNA from 1 species